rnacentral:rRNA from 1 species
ACAACGAAGAGUUUGAUCCUGGCUCAGGAUGAACGCUAGCUACAGGCUUAACACAUGCAAGUCGAGGGGCAGCGGGGGUGGAGCUUCGGCUCCGCCUGCCGGCGACCGGCGCACGGGUGAGUAACACGUAUGCAACCUGCCUGUCACAGGGGGAUAAGCGGAAGAAAUUCCGUCUAAUACCGCAUAAUAUCCCCGGGGGACAUCCCCCGGGGAUUAAAGGAGCGAUCCGGUGACAGAUGGGCAUGCGGCGCAUUAGCUAGUUGGCGGGGUAACGGCCCACCAAGGCGACGAUGCGUAGGGGUUCUGAGAGG